CUCUGGUCUCUGUCCCUCCUCUGUCACCUGAUUACAAAAAUUUGCUUGCCGCAAAUGAUUCCGAUUUACAGAACUCCGUGGUUUAGAAGUAAAAGUCCCUGCAC